rnacentral:rRNA from 1 species
GAUGAACGCUAGCUACAGGCUUAACACAUGCAAGUCGAGGGGAAACGGCAUCGAAAGCUUGCUUUUGAUGGGCGUCGACCGGCGCACGGGUGAGUAACGCGUAUCCAACCUGCCCAUCACUUGGGAAUAACCUUGCGAAAGUAAGACUAAUGCCCAAUGACAUCCCACGAAGGCAUCCGAAUGGGAUUAAAGAUUUAUCGGUGAUGGAUGGGGAUGCGUCUGAUUAGCUUGUUGGUGGGGUGACGGCCCACCAAGGCAACGAUCAGUAGGGGUUCUGAGAGGAAGGUCCCCCACAUUGGAACUGAGACACGGUCCAAACUCCUACGGGAGGCAGCAGUGAGGAAUAUUGAUCAAUGGGCGAGAGCCUGAACCAGCCAAGUAGCGUGCAGGAUGACGGCCCUAUGGGUUGUAAACUGCUUUUAUAAGGGAAUAAAGUGGGUCACGUGUGACUUUUUGCAUGUACCUUAUGAAUAAGGACCGGCUAAUUCCGUG